UACAGAGGUCCCAAGCGUUGUUCGGAUUUAUUGGGCGUAAAGGGUGCGUAGGCGGCGGAGUAAGUUGGGUGUGAAAUCCCGGGGCUCAACCUCGGAACGGCAUUCAAUACUGCUUCGCUUGAGUACUGGAGAGGAGGCUGGAAUUUACGGUGUAGCAGUGAAAUGCGUAGAUAUCGUAAGGAAGGCCGGUGGCGAAAGCGAGCCUCUGGACAGUUACUGACGCUGAUGCACGAAGGCCAGGGGGAGCAAACGGGG
rnacentral:rRNA from 1 species